CGGGGGUCCACUUUGUGGCGCCCCGGGUGGAGCCACCCUUUCCACCCCUCACGGCUUCUUCCCGAGGUCGAGGGAGUCUGGUUCUCUACGGUCGACCCUCGGGGCAUCCCGACCUUAGUCGAGGGAUCCUUGCGUCAAGCCGAUGUUUCAUCGUCCUGCGAUACUUCUCGAGGUCGAGGGAGUUUGGAACUCUACGGUCGAGUCUCGAGGCAUCCCG
rnacentral:lncRNA from 1 species